AAAAAAACUAGAGGAGGGAAGACGACAAUCCAGCUGAACCCACUGGAGGAGAAAUUGUUGGGGGCGAUUGCCGAAACGUUAGUUGAAGGAGUAGAUGGAGGAGUGGACACUGGAGAACCGGGAGAAGACGAUAGCCUGCAAGCAGGAGAUACUUUGGUCGUAAUAGUAGUCAACCAGGAUGCAGAACAAUCCCACACAAUCAAUGCAGCUGAACCAACCCAAGCCCUUACAAACCAUCAAAACCUGUUACAGAGUCCCGGGGAUGACCUGACAUUAUCCCAGCUAUUCUCGGAAACCUUUCAUACACCUGCCACAUCCAGAAGCAACACGGAGGACAUGGUCUCCCUUCAGCGUCAGCUUUUGGAGGAAGUUAAAAUGCUGAGGCAUACUCCGGAGCAACUCCUGCAGGUGGAGAGGGAAAAGCUGCUCGUCGAGAGGGAGAAGCUUCACCUUGCCCAAGCCAAGUUUGAUUUAAAAAAAAAUGAAUGUUGAACCUAGAAUAAAAUAGCAAUCACUCAGAGGUUUUCAUGUGUUGUUUAUUGUGGUUUUUCUUCACAUGAAUCUCCUCCUUAUGAGGUCUUGUCUCACUUGCAUGCCAGUGUUACAUGGGGCAGGGACUGGGACAUCUCCCUCGGGGGGCAUCAUCUUCUGGGAUGUCAGGGAUUGGCAAGCGGUACAUAAUGCAGAUGUUGUGGAGGAUAAAAGCACAGGUAAUCAUUUUACAUGCCCUCUCAGGAGUGUACUGGAGCACUCCACCAGAACAGUCGAUACACCUAAACCUUGACUUCACUACCCCAAUGCACCUCUCCACAACACUACGCGUUUUUCGUUGUGCCCGGCUGUAGCGCUCAUCUGGCUCUGUUGCUGGGUGAAGGAUGGGUGUCAUCAACCAUGGUCUUAAGGCCUAGCCACCGUCUCCUGUCAUAGCGGACAUUAGUUAGGGCAAUACAGUAUGUUUUUGUUUUAACCUAAAGUAGAAUUCAUGUGUAGUUCUCACCUAACAACCAACCACCGGGCAUUUCUCCCUCAUUAAGUUUAAUGCCUGUUCCUGAAUUCAUAAGAACAAAGGAGUCGUGGGUGCUACCCGGCCACUUCGCAACAAGGUCUGUCACUCGGAGCGUUGCAUCACAUAUGACCUGUGUGUUUAUCGAGUGGAAUUUUUUCCUGUUCACAAAGGCCUCCUCCUCAUCAUUUGGUGCCUAUGGAAUUAAAAUGUAUGGAUAAUUCAUACUUAAGGUAACGCUUCAAGCACCACGUGAAAUGUUUUUUGAUUCAAGCUGAUACGUUCAUAAACAGCAUAAACAGAUUUGCAAAAAAAUUCAAAUAAAUAACAUUAUCUUACUUUGAUUGCAAUAUGUGUCCCAUCAACUGCCCCCAGCACAUUUGGAAAUCCGGCUAUUUAAAAAAAAUGCUGUUUGGUUCGAAUGCAUUCUGCGUCUGUUGCUGGAAACUUGAUGAACUGCCGUGCUCUUCUACAGAGUGCAUUUGUAACAUCUCUGACCACUCGGCUAACGGAUGAUUGGCUCACACCCAGGGUGCCCCCCACCACCAUUUGAAAAGACCCAGAGGCAAAAAAUCUCAGGGCAGCCAUAAUUUGCGUUACAACUGGAAGGGGUGACGAUCGCCUUGUUUUCCUUUUCAGGUCAUUUGAUAGCAUAUCUGCUAAAUAAAUAAUUGCAGGCCUAGGGAGCCUAUAUUGUCUAAUCAACAUGUGAUCAGGGAGCAUAAGCAGAUCCAUUCUGCCUUGGUGGAUUUUCCUCCCUAACUGUCACCCAAAGAACUUCCAUCUAAAAAAAAAAGAGUAAUAUGAUUUCAGUGACUUGGCCAACUGAAAUGAUCUAAUAAUCUAAAUAAAUACAACUGCCUUCUUGAUAUACUUAAGAGAAAAUUGAAGUAUAAUCAAACAUCUUUGAUAACUAUUACUUCUCAACACUGUCUGGUAUUAUCAAUAGUAAAUGACAGAGUUUAGGCCCAUUUCAUUUAAUAUUAUAUUAUAUAAUAUAUAUAUAAUAGUAUGACAAGCUUAAAUUCACAACAUUGUUUAACAUAUAGUCUUGGGUUAAGCAAUA
ensembl:lncRNA